GGGAGUGCCCCAGAGAUGGCGAACUGGGCCUGACUGUAAAUCAGGUGGCUUCGGCCUUAGUGGGUUCGAUUCCCUCCACUCCCACCA
rnacentral:tRNA from 1 species